UACGGGGGGGGCAAGCGUUGUUCGGAAUUCCUGGGCGUAAAGGGCUUGUAGGUGGCCAACUAAGUCAGACGUGAAAUCCCUCGGCUUAACCGGGGAACUGCGUCUGAUACUGGAUGGCUUGAGUGUGGGAGAGGGAUGCGGAAUUCCAGGUGUAGCGGUGAAAUGCGUAGAUAUCUGGAGGAACACCGGUGGCGAAGGCGGCAUCCUGGACCAUUACUGACACUGAAAAGCGAAAGCCAGGGGAGCAAACGGG
rnacentral:rRNA from 1 species